UACGUAGGGUCCGAGCGUUGUCCGGAAUUAUUGGGCGUAAAGGGCUCGUAGGCGGUUUGUCACGUCGGGAGUGAAAACUUGGGGCUUAACCCCAUUCGUGCUUCCGAUACGGGCAGACUAGAGGCAGGCAGGGGAGAACGGAAUUCCUGGUGUAGCGGUGGAAUGCGCAGAUAUCGGGAGGAACACCAAUGGCGAAGGCAGCUCGCUGGGACGGUACUGACGCUGAGGCGCGAAAGCGUGGGGAGCAACAGG
rnacentral:rRNA from 1 species